CGAACUCCAGGCUAAUAAUAUGAAGCGCAUGGAUACAAGUUAUCCUUGGAAGGAAAGACAAUUCCGAAUCUGCUUUGUCUACGAAUAAGGAAGCUAUGAGUAAUGCAACUAUGAAUCUCAUGGAGAGUUCGAUCCUGGCUCAGGAUGAAUGCUGGCGGAAUGCUUAACACAUGCAAGUCAAACGGGCUCGCUCUGAUUAGCUAGUUGCUGGGGCAAUAUCUUACCAAGGCGAUGAUCAGUAGCUGGUCCGAGAGGAUGAUCAGCCACACUGGGACUGAGACACGGCCUAGACUCCUACGGGAGGCAGCAGUGGGGAAUUUUCCGCAAUGGGCGAAAGCCUGACAGAACAAUGCCGCGUGGAGGUGGAAGGCCUAUGGGUUGUCAACUUCUUUUCUCGAAGAAGAAACAAUGACGACAUCUGAGGAAUAAGCAUCGGCUAACUCUGUGCCAGCAGUCGCGGUAAGACAGAGGAUGCAAGCGUUAUCCGGAAUGAUUGGGCGUAAAGCGUCUGUAGGUGGCUUUUCAAGUCUGCCGUCAAAUCCUAGGGCUCAACCCUGGACAGGCGAUAUAAACUACCAAGCUGGAGUACGGUAGGGUCAUAGAGAAUUUUCGGUGGAGCGGUGAAAUGCAUUGAGAUCGGAAAGAACACCAACGGCGAAAACACUCUGCUGGGCCGACAUUAACACUGAGAGACGAAAGCUAGGGGAGCAAAUGGGAUUAGACAUCCUAGUAGUCCUAGCCGUAAAUGAUGGAUACUAGGUGUUGUGCGACUCGAUCCGUGUAGUGCUGUAGCUAACGCAUUAAGUAUUCCGCCUGGGGAGUACGUUCGCAAGAAUGAAACUCAAAGGAAUUGACGGGGGCCCGCACAAGCGGUGGAGCAUGUGGUUUAAUUUGAUGCAAAGCGAAGAACCUUACCAGGGCUUGACAUGUCGCGAAUGCUCUUGAAAGAUAGGGGUGCCCUUGGGAACGCGGACACAGGUGGUGUAUGGCUGUCGUCAGCUUGUGCUGUAAGCUGUUGGGUUAAGUCUCGCAACGGGUGCAACCCUCGUGUUUAGUUGCCACUAUGAGUUUGGAACCCUGAACAGACCGCCGGUGUUAAGCCGGAGGAAGGAGAGGAUGAGGCCAAGUCAUCAUGCCCCUUAUGCCCUGGGCGACACACGUGCUACAAUGGACAGGACAAAGGGUCGCGAUCUUGCGAGGGUGAGGUAACUCCAAAAACCUGUCCUCAGUUCGGAUUGUAGGCUGCAACUCGCCUGCAUGAAGCAGGAAUCGCUAGUAAUCACCAGUCAUCCAUACGGCGGUGAAUCCGUUCCCGGGCCUUGUACACACUGCUCGUCACACUAUAGGAGCUGGCCAGAUUUGAAGUCAUUACCCUUAACCGUAAGGAGGGGGAUGCCUAAGGCUAGGCUUGCGACUGGAGUGAAGUCGUAACAAGGUAGCCGUACUGGAAGGUGCGGCUG
rnacentral:rRNA from 1 species